UCGGGAAUUUUGCGCAAUGGGCGAAAGCCUGACGCAGCAACGCCGCGUGAGGGAUGAAGGCCUUCGGGUUGUAAACCUCUUUUCUCAGGGACGAUGAUGACGGUACCUGAGGAAUAAGCCACGGCUAACUACGUGCCAGCAGCCGCGGUAAUACGUAGGUGGCGAGCGUUGUCCGGAUUUACUGGGCGUAAAGAGCGCGCAGGCGGUCGUAUGAGUCGCGUGUGAAAGCCCCCGGCUCAACUGGGGAGGGUCACGCGAUACUGUUCGACUCGAAGGCAGGAGAGGGAAGCGGAAUUCCCGGUGUAGUGGUGAAAUGCGUAGAUAUCGGGAGGAACACCAGUGGCGAAGGCGGCUUCCUGGCCUGUUCUUGACGCUGAGGCGCGAAAGCUAGGGUAGCAAACGGG
rnacentral:rRNA from 1 species